ACUAACUAAAAUAAAUGGGAGGCUUCCCCUCCCUCUCGAUUGUUACUCGGCACGGACAGACUAUAAGCCUGAUGGUCGUUCCCCAUCAGGCCUGAAAACCGCAAAAACGCCGAAUAACAAUCUUCGAGGGUAGCGCUGCUCACCUUUUUUCUGGAGUAG
rnacentral:sRNA from 1 species